rnacentral:rRNA from 1 species
UACGUAGGCAGCAAGCGUUGUUCGGAGUUACUGGGCGUAAAGGGUGCGUAGGCGGCUUUUAAGUUUGGUGUGAAAUCUCCCGGCUCAACUGGGAGGGUGCGCCGAAUACUGAGAGGCUAGAGUGUGGGAGAGGAAAGUGGAAUUCCUGGUGUAGCGGUGAAAUGCGCAGAUAUCGGGAAGAACACUCGUGGCGAAGGCGGCUCUCUGGGACGGUACUGACGCUGAGACGCGAAAGCGUGGGGAGCGAACAGG